UACGUAGGGUGCAAGCGUUAAUCGGAAUUACUGGGCGUAAAGCGCACGUAGGCGGCUUUCUAAGUCAGGGGUGAAAUCCUGGAGCUCAACUCCAGAACUGCCUUUGAUACUGGGGAGCUCGAGUCCGGAAGAGGUGAGUGGAACUCCGAGUGUAGAGGUGAAAUUCGUAGAUAUUCGGAAGAACACCAGUGGCGAAGGCGGCUCACUGGUCCGGUACUGACGCUGAGGUGCGAAAGCGUGGGGAGCAAACAGG
rnacentral:rRNA from 1 species